GAUGAACGCUGGCGGCGUGCCUAAUACAUGCAAGUCGAGCGAACAGAUGAGGAGCUUGCUCCUCUGACGUUAGCGGCGGACGGGUGAGUAACACGUGGAUAACCUACCCAUAAGACUGGGAUAACUUCGGGAAACCGGAGCUAAUACCGGAUAAUAUAUUGAACCGCAUGGUUCAAUAGUGAAAGACGGUUUUGCUGUCACUUAUAGAUGGAUCCGUGCCGCAUUAGCUAGUUGGUAAGGUAACGGCUUACCAAGGCAACGAUGCGUAGCCGACCUGAGAGGAUGAUCGGCCACACUGGAACUGAGACACGAUCCAGACUCCUACGGGAGGCAGCAGUAGGGAAUCUUCCGCAAUGGGCGAAAGCCUGACGGAGCAACGCCGCGUGAGUGAUGAAGGUCUUCGGAUCGUAAAACUCUGUUAUUAGGGAAGAACAAAUGUGUAAGUAACUAUGCACGUCUUGACGGUACCUAAUCAGAAAGCCACGGCUAACUACGUG
rnacentral:rRNA from 1 species